AGCUUUGCGCAGUGUCGAUAUUGUAACCAAUAAGGUUAUACCGAGUUGCGAUUAUUGCUAAUUGAAAAAAAAUCCUUAUGAAAAGUUUUAUUCUGUUAAUGGUUUUAUAUCAUUCUAAAUAGAUUUUUGUGAGU